GACGAACGCUGGCGGCGUGCCUAAUACAUGCAAGUAGAACGCUGAAGGAGGAGCUUGCUUCUCCGGAUGAGUUGCGAACGGGUGAGUAACGCGUAGGUAACCUGCCUGGUAGCGGGGGAUAACUAUUGGAAACGAUAGCUAAUACCGCAUAAGAUUAGAUGUCGCAUGACAUUUGCUUAAAAGGUGCAACUGCACCACUACCAGAUGGACCUGCGUUGUAUUAGCUAGUUGGUGAGGUAACGGCUCACCAAGGCAACGAUACAUAGCCGACCUGAGAGGGUGAUCGGCCACACUGGGACUGAGACACGGCCCAGACUCCUACGGGAGGCAGCAGUAGGGAAUCUUCGGCAAUGGACGGAAGUCUGACCGAGCAACGCCGCGUGAGUGAAGAAGGUUUUCGGAUCGUAAAGCUCUGUUGUAAGAGAAGAACGAGUGUGAGAGUGGAAAGUUCACACUGUGACGGUAUCUUACCAGAAAGGGACGGCUAACUACGUG
rnacentral:rRNA from 1 species